rnacentral:lncRNA from 1 species
GGGCUUGCGCCACUUGGAGAUGAGCGCCUGGUCCGCGACCUUCUCCCUGCAGAGGUAAUCGUACAGCUCGUCGCCCAUGACCUUGCGCUUGUAUCGGAGGUCCCAGAUGAAGCGAUUCUUCUCCCAGUGGAUUCGGUGGAUGCGCCAGGUGAGCUCGUUCUUCCGUUUGCCCUCGUGUUCUUCGGCCACCGCGUCCUUCAUCUGCUGCUCGAAGUCCUCGAUGGACUCUUCGAUGAGAUCCCAGCCCUCGGGCGGGCGCUUGCGCUUGAGCCUCCGCCUGAACGACAUACCUCCUCCUCUGCCGCUCGCUACUCGGCUCUAAAUUGACUCGAUCUAGGGUUUCCGCGGCCUUUGUCCCGGGUUUGCGCGCGUGAAUCGAGCGGAUUCGAGCCCAGACUACAAACCGAGCGUGAGAUACCCGGGUCUUCGAGCGAUGAGGCGCGUCGAGACGGUUGUGCGGCGCGGUGCCCGGGGACCGGUGCUGUGAACGCGAGCGGAGGUGGCUCUGGUUUUUUGGCUUUUCCGUGGCGAUUGACGAGUCAUGUCACAGCAGCUUGCCACUCCUUGCCGUCCAAACGCCCAGUUUGAAUAUCUCGGGGCGCAGGUGGAGCGCAGUAGCGAGGGGCGCCGGGCGACGAAGGGGAACCCGCGCGCGCGUUGGACCGAAUAUCGCGCGCCCGGAUCGAACCCAUCGACGCGGCGGCGCGCUCGUGGCCCAUCGAGGCAAGUCACGCGGGGGUCGAUAGGCGCCCGACGCGUGCGAUCCGAACGCC